rnacentral:rRNA from 1 species
AAGUGGAUUAGCGGCGGACGGGUGAGUAACACGUGAGUAACCUGCCCUUGACUUUGGGAUAACUUCAGGAAACUGGGGCUAAUACCGGAUAGGAGCUCCUGCUGCAUGGUGGGGGUUGGAAAGUUUCGGCGGUUGGGGAUGGACUCGCGGCUUAUCAGCUUGUUGGUGGGGUAGUGGCUUACCAAGGCUUUGACGGGUAGCCGGCCUGAGAGGGUGACCGGCCACAUUGGGACUGAGAUACGGGCCAG